AUUCCAGCUCCAAUAGCGUAUAUUUAGGUUGCUGCAGUUAAAAAGCUCGUAGUUGGAUUUCGGGUGGGAAUGGCCGGUCCGCCGUUUCGGUGUGCACUUGCUAGUCCCACCUUGCUGCCGGGGACGUGCUCUUGGGUUUCGGCUCGGGACACGGAGUCGGCGAGGUUACUUUGAGUAAAUUAGAGUGUUCAAAGCAGGCCUACGCUCUGAAUACAUUAGCAUGGAAUAACACGAUAGGACUCUGGCCUAUCUUGUUGGUCUGUAGGACCGGAGUAAUGAUUAAGAGGGACAGUCGGGGGCAUUCGUAUUUCAUCGUCAGAGGUGAAAUUCUUGGAUUUAUGAAAGACGAACUACUGCGAAGGCAUUUGCCAAGGAUGUUUUCAUCA
rnacentral:rRNA from 1 species